rnacentral:rRNA from 1 species
AGACGUCUACAUUAGAUACCCCGGUAGUCCCAGCCGUAAACUAUGCGCGUUAGGUGUAUCGGUGACCACGAGUCACCGAGGUGCCGAAGGGAAACCGUGAAACGUGCCGCCUGGGAAGUACGGUCGCAAGGCUGAAACUUAAAGGAAUUGGCGGGGAGCACCACAACGGGUGGAGCCUGCGGUUUAAUUGGAUUCAACGCCGGACAUCUCACCGGAUAAGACAGCUGAAUGAUUGUCAAUCUGAAGGUUUUACAUGACUAGCUG